UACGGAGGGUGCAAGCGUUAAUCGGAAUUACUGGGCGUAAAGCGUGCGCAGGCGGUUUGUUAAGUCCGUUGUGAAAGCCCCGAGCUCAACUUGGGAAUGGCAUUGGAAACUGGCGGGCUGGAGUGUGGCAGAGGGGGGUGGAAUUCCACGUGUAGCAGUGAAAUGCGUAGAGAUGUGGAGGAACACCGAUGGCGAAGGCAGCCCCCUGGGCCAACACUGACGCUCAGGCACGAAAGCGUGGGGAGCAAACAGG
rnacentral:rRNA from 1 species